rnacentral:rRNA from 1 species
UACGUAGGGCGCAAGCGUUAUCCGGAUUUAUUGGGCGUAAAGAGCUCGUAGGCGGUUUGUCGCGUCUGCCGUGAAAGUCCGAGGCUCAACCUCGGAUCUGCGGUGGGUACGGGCAGACUAGAGUGAUGUAGGGGAGACUGGAAUUCCUGGUGUAGCGGUGAAAUGCGCAGAUAUCAGGAGGAACACCGAUGGCGAAGGCAGGUCUCUGGGCAUUUACUGACGCUGAGAGACGAAAGCUAGGGGAGCGAAUGGG